rnacentral:lncRNA from 1 species
GGAGUCGUGAUGAUCAGGUGGCCAAGGGAUCCUCCAUGAGGACACACAUGCCACAGAGCAAGCCAGGACAAGACUGUCUUCAAACUGCAAGUAACACAGGGCCUGUGGCUGGGAAGUAGAUAGCUUAGAGGGUUAGAAUGGGUGGAUAUUUGUCCUGUCACAGUGCUUAAAGCUUGUUAGUAAACUUAAUAGGUCUUCGUGUCACCUAUUUGGGAGUUAGAAUGGAAACAGGUACCCCAUUUGCUUUUCAAGCAUUUACAGAAUUUAGUUCUGGAUUCAAUUCCCAGUACCACAAAAACUAGUGCUGAAAGAGAAUCAGAAGUUCAGGGACAUCCUUGAUUCUAUAUUAAGGACUGAACCCCUGAUGUCUUUCAUGCUAAGUCACCCUUUACAACCAAGCUGAGACUCCAGCCUCAAUCGCUCCUGUUUUAGGGAAAGAGAGCUGAGUCACAGAAAGCUUCCAUCACUUGCUUAAGGAAGAAUAAGCAGAAACCUCUCCUAGACUUUCCUCGGGGGAAACAGCCCCAGGUUGAACCACACUGGAACACGAAUCAGAAGGGCAAACACGUGCUCCAUUUGCCCUUAUGCAAACAUCUUCCCAGGUCCUGAGCCCAGGGGAAAAGUGGAUGAAAACCCCCAACUGAAACUAAUCCAAAGCAGAGUUGCCCCGUGUGUCCCCAGGCUACCUCCCGUCUUCCUGAAGCCACGGCUGUGACAGCCUGAGUGGGAACUGAAGGCUGCUGGGAAACGGGUAUCUAUUACAAAAUAAAUCAGAGUCAUGAAAACACACAA